rnacentral:rRNA from 1 species
AGUGAACGCUGGCGGUAGGCCUAACACAUGCAAGUCGAACGGCAGCACGGUAAGAGCUUGCUCUUACGGGUGGCGAGUGGCGGACGGGUGAGGAAUACAUCGGAAUCUACUUUUUCGUGGGGGAUAACGUAGGGAAACUUACGCUAAUACCGCAUACGACCUAUGGGUGAAAGCAGGGGAUCUUCGGACCUUGCGCGAUUGAAUGAGCCGAUGCCGGAUUAGCUAGUUGGCGGGGUAAAGGCCCACCAAGGCGACGAUCCGUAGCUGGUCUGAGAGGAUGAUCAGCCACACUGGAACUGAGACACGGUCCAGACUCCUACGGGAGGCAGCAGUGGGGAAUAUUGGACAAUGGGCGCAAGCCUGAUCCAGCCAUACCGCGUGGGUGAAGAAGGCCUUCGGGUUGUAAAGCCCUUUUGUUGGGAAAGAAAAGCAGCAGGUUAAUACCCCGCUGUUCUGACGGUACCCAAAGAAUAAGCACCGGCUAACUUCGUG